GAUGGCCGAGGGUGGAAUUGAACCGCGGUCUCUUAGCUGUGAGGCCCGUGCGCUAUGGGAGAACGAUCUGUGUAAAGAUAAAAUAUAGGCCAAUUUUAAAUAAACAAACCAAGAAUGAGCUCAGUUUUUUACUCACUUUUGUGUCUCUCCUGCAAGGUUAUGCUUUUUUUCCUACAUCAUUUGUUACGUCACAUUCAAACUAUAUGCAAUUUAGCAGUUGACAUAAUCCGGCCAAUAGCUACUUUUCUUUCUGACGCAUUAGCAACAGUGAGGAUUGACUAAGGUUUAGUAAGAUUGCGUCUUCAGCCAAUCAGAGAACUUAAGUGGGCGGGUGUUUACAGCACAUAAGCAAUUAGGAUUGGCUAUAAAGUUUAGUAAGAUUGCUUUUUCAGCCAAUCAGAGAACUUGAGUGGGCGGGUGUUUAGAGCAAGUCCAAAAUGCGAUAGCUGACAUGGCGAGUGAGGAGGACUCUCGUGAGAAGACAGCGUUUACAAAAUGGAAGUACAGAUACUACUUAAACCUCGUUGAUGUCAAAGAAUGUCGCUCCAUGGAUGCCACCUUGUGGGACACGUUACAUUAAACACAGCAGCAGGCUAAUCCAGACAUCUUGCUUGUUUUCCACCAGCAUCCCUGCUCUACAUCGCCAAAUAGAAGGAACCUUUGAUGGAAUGUGUUCCGUCCACAGAGACUCACCAGCUGAAGCGCAGGUCAAAGGUCAGGAGCAGCUUUCAGCCUCAUCCUCUGCAUACAAACACACGCAAGGACGCACGUCCGCAGAGACGCUCGAGCAGCAUCGGUAAACAAAUACUAGCCUCAUCCGCGUCACAUCUGCGAGCCUGUUCUCACGACCUGACUGUUGCUUUGACACGGCGUGUGGGUGUCCCUCAGGGAUGACAUUUAAACCUGCUAACAUUCCGAGCAUGUGAGCGUUUUUGUUACGGCAUUUUGGGAUAUGAAGAAGGAACUUUCAUUUAGCUGUUGUUAAUAAUACUGUAAAUGUGAAUUAUUCUUGGGCCGCAUGGUGGAAAGUGGUUGUCAUGCAGGCCUUACAGAUAGAAGACCCGAGUUCAAUUCCACUCUUUUUUUUUCAGCCUUUUUCUGUGCGGAGUUUGCACGUUCUCCCCAUGCAUGCGUGGGUUUUCUCCGGGUACUCCGGUUUUCCUCCCACAUUCCAAAAACAUGCUAGGUUAAUUAGCGACGCCAAAUUGUCCAUAGGUAUGAAUGUGAGUGUGAAUGGUUGUUUGUCUAUAUGUGCCCUGUGAUUGGCUGGCUGGCCACCAGUCCAAAGACAGCUGGGAUAGGCUCCAGCACCCCCACGACCCUUGUGAGGAUAAGCGGUAGAAAAUCAAUGAACUAAUGAAUAAAUAAAGAGAAGUGCACGGCGCCGAGUGGUUAGCAUGCAGGCCUCACAGCUAGGAGACCCAAGUUUGAUUCCACCCUCGGCCAUCUCUGUGUGGAGUUUGCAUGUUCUCUCCGUGCAUGUGUGGGUUUUCUCCGGGUACUCCGGUUUCCUCCCACAUACCAAAAACAUGCUAGGUUAAUUAGCGACUCCAAAUUGUCCAUAGGUAUGAAUGUGAGUGUGAAUGGUUGUUUGUCUAUAUGUGCCCUGUGAUUGGCUGGCUGGCCACCAGUCCAGGGUGUACCCAGCCUCUCGCCCGAAGACAGCUGGGAUAGGCUCCAGCACCCACGCAACCCCUGUGAGGAUAAGCGGUAGAAAAUGAAUGAAUGAAUGAUUCUCUUCUCUUUCUUAUCUCCUUAAUGAAGAACACCUUGUCAUAUUCAUUUUUGUAUUUUAUUCCUUGAGAUGAACACAGUGACCGUAAUGUUAUAUAUACUGUUAGUGAGUUACUUGUAGUGGUGGAUGGUGGCCAAAUUCAGAACUCUGGUCCCUCCUUCUUCAGGUUCUUGUAGUCAGUAGUGAUAGCCACAAACUAAUAACAGACAGAGAAAAGGGAGUUUUAAAUUAUUUAUAGCGUUGUUAAUGUAUAUGCUGUAUAUAUAUACAGACAGUAUAUACUGUGUAGUGUAUAUACAUUUGUAUUAAAUCACCUUAUACUGGUAUGUGGGAUCAAGUUUAUUCCAGGGUUCUGGAUUAUUGGUCUUGUCCCAGCUGGAAACACACAUGAUUGAAUAUUGUUGUCAAGUAGUAGACUAGUAUGGAAUAUGUAGUAAGUGACAAGUCAGGUCUCUCUUCACCAAAGAGAGUUUUAGGACAUGUUGAGUGCGUACUUACGUCACAUGAGGUCCUUUGGCCAAUCGGAUCAGGUAAAGAGAAGCCCCACCCAUUCCCAAACAGAUGAAGAAGAACUGGGGGAUCAACUGAGGGGACACAAAAAUAAUCAUACAAUUUUAUACUAAUAAUACUUAAGACAUUCAUUUUCUAGCGCUUAUCCUCACAAGGGUCAGCUGUCUUCGGGCGAGACACCCUGGACUGGUGGCCAGCCAAUCACAGGGCACAUAUAGACAAACAACCAUUCACACUCACAUUCAUACCUAUGGACAAUUUGGAGUCGCCAAUUAACCUAGCAUGUUUUUGGAAUGUGGGAGGAAACCGGAGUACCUGGAAAAAAAAACAUGCAUGCACGGGGAGAACAUGCAAACUCCACA